GACGAACGCUGGCGGCGUGCUUAACACAUGCAAGUCGAACGGAAAGGCCCUGCUUUUGUGGGGUGCUCGAGUGGCGAACGGGUGAGUAACACGUGAGUAACCUGCCCUUGACUUUGGGAUAACUUCAGGAAACUGGGGCUAAUACCGGAUAGGAGCUCCUGCUGCAUGGGGGGGGUUGGAAAGUUUCGGCGGUUGGGGAUGGACUCGCGGCUUAUCAGCUUGUUGGUGGGGUAGUGGCUUACCAAGGCUUUGACGGGUAGCCGGCCUGAGAGGGUGACCGGCCACCUUGGGCCUGAGGUACGGCCCAGUCUCCUACGGGAGGCAGCAGGGGGGAAUAUUGCACAAUGGGCGGGAGCCUGAUGCAGAAACGCCGCGUGCGGGAUGACGGCCUUCUGGUUGUAAACCGCUUUCGCCUGUGACGAAGCGUGAGUGACGGUAAUGGGUAAAGAAGCACCGGCUAACUACGUG
rnacentral:rRNA from 1 species